rnacentral:rRNA from 1 species
UACGUAGGGGGCAAGCGUUGUCCGGAUUUAUUGGGCGUAAAGAGCGUGUAGGCGGCUUUACAGGUCCGUUGUGAAAACUCGAGGUUCAACCUCGAGACGCCGGUGGAAACCGUAAGGCUAGAGUCCGGAAGAGGAGAGUGGAAUUCCUGGUGUAGCGGUGAAAUGCGCAGAUAUCAGGAAGAACACCCGUGGCGAAAGCGGCUCUCUGGGACGGUACUGACGCUGAGACGCGAAAGCCAGGGGAGCAAACGGG